AUGACUUCAACAACACACUAGUAACACUCUACCAUAAGAUUCCAACCACCAAAGUAAGCAACAAAGAAAUAAUGCAAGAACAACUUACUUGGUAAGAGAGUGUGGGCCCAUAACCUAUUGAAACAUAGAAAGCAAACUCUACACAAGCAAGUUAGGACCAGCAAGGUUGCACUUCACAAAUAGAAUGUGGUAUGAGAUGAUUCUUCCCAUGCCAACCC
rnacentral:lncRNA from 1 species